GUUCACCUGGCAAAAAAUGUUAGGAACUCUUGCUCUAGCUAAACAACAAGAGAGAGUUCUGCAACAAAAGCUGAAACACAUAAGCUUGAUUAAAAAUUGAAAAUGUUACUGUUUCUAGUUAGUGAGACGCCGUGGUAGAUGUUGACCUCAGGAAACCAUCCUAUCUAUCUCUGGAACAGUGUGUGCUUAACACUGAACAUGUCCCCAUUCUUAAUCAGUCAGAGCAGAUCGAUGCUAAUGCUAACAGGCCUGAGAGACCGAUGAGCAGUGCAGGCUAACAGAGAGCCUAUUCAUCAAACACCUGCGGUGGCCCUGGUGCCAGUUCAGGCCCUCCCUCGGGGUCGGGACUGAGCAUGUGAUAGAUGCCUUUCAUAUGCUCUGCCCACUCCUCGGCUCACACAGGCUCUGCAGGGGCAGGAACUCAUUUAAACAUCACCAGUGAAGUGUCUGCAUAUAAACACACCAUAGAGACCCUUAUUAAGCAAGAAAGCAUAAUAGAAGUAAUGCAAUUAUACAUUCAGUGGCCACUUUAAUAGGAAUACCUGCAUCUCUGCUCAUUCAUGCAAUGUUGAUGCCAGACAGGCUGAGUUUUUUUUUCCCCGAAACUGUUGAUGUCCCGGGAUUUUCAUGCACAACAUGCUCUAGAGUUUACACAGAAUGGUGCACAAAUGGUGUCACUUCGGUGGGUGGAAAACCCUUUGUAGAUGAGAGCAAUCAGAGGAGAAUAGCCAGACUGGUUCAAGCGAACAGGAAACUAACUCAAUGCUAACUCAAAUAAUCAUUCAAAAAUCCACGGUGAGCAGAAAACAGUAGAAGAAACAGUAGAAGACUUUUGUAGUCUUCUCUUGUCUGCCAAAAAGAGGAAUCUGAAACUACAGUGUGCACAGGCUCACCAAAACUGGACGAUUAGAAAAAGACCAGGUGAGAGUGGUGAUCACUUUUUUCCCCAUUCUGAUGUUUGAUGUGAACAUUAACUGAAGCUCUUGACCUGUACCUGCAUGAUUUUAUGUAUUGCUCUGCUGCUACUUGAUUGGCUGAUGGGUAAAUUGCAUGAAUGAGCACGAAGUUCCAUUAAAGUGCCUGGUGAGUGUUUAUCUUGUGCCAUACUGGUUAUUUGACUGACUACCUGCCAUCUAAUCUCUGCAUCUCAUACUGCAGUGCACUGAACGCUGCUCCUGCAGUGUCAGCUUUCUGUACAUCUCUCAUUUCCUGCCUGUGCCCUUUUUGGCUCCAACCUGAUCCCAGUUAGGGCUAUCGUUACCCUGCCUUCAUCCAACACUCCAUACUGAGACCCACCUUCCUCUCAUACAACCCACUCAAACCAAUGAUCUACAGUAAGACACUUUAUUAGCCAGGGCAAGGCUGUCAAAAGCAGUGAGAGUCAACACCCCAUAACCGUGUACUGUGUUGGCGAAGUAUAAACGGAAGCUCCAUGGGCUACACCCUAAGGCUGGGCUCCUCAGCCCACGCUAACCCGCCUCCACCAUAUAUCAGCUUGCUGUCCAUCUGUCAGCAGAAUAAACGAGUGGGUGAUGAGGGCUUGGCCCAUUUGGGCCCCUGCUGCCCAGAGUAAACAGUCCUGGCUGGAUGCAAUGCUUGCAGGCACCGUGAAUCAUAUCACUUGGCACAAGCAAACAAACAAAUUAGCUUUCCAGUGAGAGGUGGCCAGGCUCUCCAUAGCCACUGUGUGUACCCAUGAAGCAAGAGGAAGUGAAAAGGACAGGAACGAGUGAGCUACAGCCUCAGGUCCACUGCUCACCCAGCCUGCUAGCUCUCUGUCUGCUCACUUCCUGGUAUGCCCAGCCUCACCUUCCUUGUGGUUCACCGAUUCAGCACUCGGCCGCCGUGCUGAGUUCAAGCAACCGACCUCGAACCCCGACCUCGACUGACACAUACUCACUUCCUCAAGCCCUUAAAUAAAACCUGCUUAACCCUGAACUCCAGUGUUUGUGUUCUGCUUCUGGGUCCCCUCUUUCCUGUGUUCAUAACACAAACACCUGAAGUUUCUUUCCUUUUUUUAAAUUACAGUUUAAUCACUGCCACUGCCAAUUAUUGCCACAGACCAAACAAGAUGAUAUCGAAUAGCAAUUAAAUAAGGAAAGCAACAUCGUUGUGGAACUUAUUAACUACUCACUCUCAGAUCCUAAUGGGGCUCUAAAUGAGUGCUUUAUUAAAGGCAAGCACACACAUAGGGUAAAACCGUUAAAUUUAUAGAUAGACUCCUAUAAAACAAAUAGUUUCGAGUGUAUAAUCUGAGCUGGGUUUGAAGCCAUUAUAAUAUUUUCAAUAUACGCAAACCUGUGACUGCAUCACAAUAAUUAAAUUCUGUAUUAAUGUGGUUUUAAAUCAAUAAAACACUGCAGCCACUGUUCUGUCCAUAUAAUUCGCUAUUUCUUUUGUUAUGUUGCUUAGCAACCAAAGCUUAUUGUUAACAGAAUACAUUGCAUGGUGGAAGAAAUGUUCAUUACGAAUAUGAACAAAUAAUAAAUAAUAAAUAAUAAAAUUAUUUAUUAAACACUGGAUUAUUUUUAUCAUAUUAUUUUUGUUGCUGUUUUAUAAAAGACAUACAACUGAUUUUAGCCAAAUGGAGAGGCUAAACACUCCUUACAUAUUAUUGCUUCAAUAGACAUUGCUCGUAUUAACUGUAAUACAUAAAUAUUUUGGUGUUCCUAAUUACAGCCAUAAAUAUUUUGGUCAUUUUUCUGAAUUAACUAGAUCUAGUUUGUCCCAAUUAAAGUAAAAUCCAAGAAAGUCAUCUCUAACAUGUCUAACAUCUAAAGGAGUAGCAAACGUUAGCUAACCUAUUUCCAUGGCAAUGUGGUUUGGAUGCAAAACAAAUAUCAAAGUCAAUAGACAGAUUUAACUAGACUAAUGCAAAACUCAAAAAACAAAGCAAUAUCUGAAAAGAAUGUACAUGAGUAAAAUCGCAGUAAUAUCACUAUUGGAAUGCAAGGAGCAAGACUUUGCAAAGAUAUGCUGUUUUUUAUGAAGAGUGUGCUAAUUAGAAAGAGGUAGUUGUGAUUAGAAGUCCAGGAAAUUAGAACGAGGUAGCAGAUCAUGUGCCGGGGCAUGCAACUGGAGUGAAUGUAGUUCAAUGUUUGGCUGAGGAUUCUGGGAAAUGGAUUUUGUAUUUGUUCAUUGAGUAGAUGUGACACAAUGGCUAUAUCAGUCCCUAUUUUACUCAGUUUCUUUAGCACAUAUCAUUCUUUUAUAUUGACAAUUCAUAUGACCUCUAGGACAAAGACCUGCAUCUCAACAAUGAGGUCUUAGUUUAAAAUGAUGAUCAGUGGAUUAAGGUCAUUUUACUUUGACCAUAUUUUCUGCACAUUACUGGAGUUAACUAUGGAGUUUGCGUUUGCGCCCGUUAACAGAUCAUGCUGCUCAUUAGUGCAACAAAACAGGAAGCCUUGACAUUUGCCUGCCCACACAGUAAUAUCCCUGUCGCUCAUAAACACACACUCACUGACACUUUCCUCUGGUCUGGCUAUGAUCUCUUUGCCUUGGGCAGUAUUUUGACUCCAUAAUGCCUGCAUUAAGAUCAUUAUGGCUGUGAGUCAGAGAAGAAGGAGUGGAGGGAACUCCGAACACAGCAAAUCUUCAUCUUUUCUUCCCCGGCUGCUCGGUGAAGGUUGCUAGUAUUGUGUAAAGACCCUGAAAUAAGCUUUGAGAUUAAUUCAAAUGAUUGACUUUUAAAGUUUUUAUGCCUUCUUCUAAACCCUUUUCCUGUGGGAAGCGGUUCAGGGUCUCUGUCAGAUAUCCAUAUUAUUAGACAGGACUCAGACACCAGAAGUCCCUUCAAUUAGCUGUUGAAAUGCAGAGAGCUCUGCUCCAUGGGUCUGUCUCAAGGUCUUUCAGCUCGUUUCGAGAGAAUGGUUAAGACUUGGCUUCCUGGUUGCCAGAGAGCUGUCAGGUGAUAAGAGAGGAGAGGACAGAGGCAGACAGGCUGAUUAGAGAGCCACGGCCACAGUAAACACACAGCAAUAAUGAACCUGUUCACCAAGAUGGAGAGAGAGACAGAGAGAGAGAGAUAGAAAGAGAGAGCGAGAGAGAGAGAGAGAAAGAGAGAGAAAGAGGAAGAGGGGUGAGAGAGAGAGAGAGAGAGAGAGAGAGAGGCACAGUGAGUGUUCUGUCUUCAGGCAAACGGAGAGGCGUGUGACUGCGCCCACAUUUCUGCAAUAACACAGCUCACCUCAGACCCAGCGCAGUGUGAGGAGACGAGCCACAGGGAGACUGAUGAAAUCGACCAUAAACAAGUACACAACAGUAAGCCACCCCACACCAGCAGCAUGAGACCGUCGCAAACAUACUUAAAGAGAAAAAAAAACACACACCCACACAGACACAGCCUUACCUUCUGUGUUAUUUGCAGCUGAUUAGUUACAAUAAAUGUUUUCUGUUACUCUGUCUAUCUUAAUGUAAAUAUACAUAUAUCAGAACAACGGAUGCAUCAACACCAUUUUUUCAGACCGAGAACAGGUUUGUUUGUUUGAUACUCCUUAAUAUCAAUACUAAUACAGAAAUGAGUGACCUACUUAGUAUUUAUCAAUCAGAGAUGUCGCAGAACACGUUUGGCUAUUUGCUGAACAAAUAAACAUUAUUCAGCACAGAUAUUAUUUCAGAUAUACUUUAACUACGUAUUCAAGCUUUCCUAAAAGUGAUAUUACAUAUAAGGACUUAAUUUCUUGAGUGACAUAAUGGCAUCACUCGUUCCCGGUUGCUGAAUCAUACAGAGCACUAUGUAGGUUCUAACCCUAUGUAGUUAGCAUAUAUAGUGAAUAGGAAGCCAUUUUAAAUUUGAUCUAGGUGUUGAAAUUUAUAUAUUCAUGAUUUUGUACAUACAAUUUGUACAUAAUUUUGAAUAUAAAUUAUCUGAAUUUGACAGGCUUAAUAUUUAAUAAUGGUUAGUUAUAUUUACUUAUUAAUGCAUGAGCCCUAUAGUAAAUGUAUUUAUUUGUUCAUUUAUUUAUUAUUAUUAUUAUUAUUAUCAUCAUCAUCAUCAUGAUUCCUCAGGUCAUGCCCAAUGUGGUAAUUGUGGUUUUAUUGGAUUGAUGUUGUCUAUUCUGGAAAGCCCUAUAUAUUUGCUUGUCCAGGAAAUUAGAAAUGACACUAUGCAUUUAUUAAGACACCCUUUUUAACAUGCUAUACAUGCAUUAAUAGUAGCAUUUGUAAACCUUCCUGAACUGAAAUGUCACAAUUUUUAUUGAGUGGUCAGAGCUGGAGCCUUUCAAACAUCCUGAGCUUUGUCUAAGAGCAGGAUGUAAAUCACUGUUGUCUGCCCCAGCACUAAUUACUGCAUUAGUAUUUAAAGAUUAGAAAGGACAGACCAUAAAAGCCCCCAUUUUAUUGCAUUUCAUCCAAUAGUGCCACCCAGAGACCACCCACCCCCACUCUUUCCAUGUCUCCAUCUCUCUGUAUGUCUCCUUCUGCCUUUCCUUCUCUCUCCCUCUCUCUCUCUCUCUUUUGCUCUCUCUCUGUGUACAAGUGUGUAGGCUCACUAAUGGUCUGCUCUAAUUCCCCAUUUGUAAUAAUGAUCAAAAAGCAAUCACAACAGCAGGGAUAAACACAGCUAAACAAAGGCAGCCAUCAAUCAUCACAUGCCGACCAUCAGCAUUCCUACACACACGCACACACUCCAUCAACAUGCCAUACAUGUGGGUGUAUGUACGGACGUAAAUGUGUAUGCGAGAGAGAGAGAGAAAGAAAGAGAGAGUACAAGUGCUGAACUAACAUGAACGUUGUUUUGAAAGGAUGCCGUCUACAGAGCAUUUCACUGGGCUCCACACAUGAGAGGGUUAUUAAUUGAGAACAAAAGCGGAGCUGACUGCUGCUGAACAAUGCACUGAACCCCUCAUGGAAAGGCGGCCAAAGAAGAUUGAUCAGACUCUGCAAAACAUAGAUUCAAACCAGGAAUGACAAGAGUCUCACUGUCUCAUAAAUGAAAUUACAUUUUUUAUCCAGCCACUGCUGCCUUCAUUACCACUGCCGAUGUAUUGCUUUUGUCAAGCUCCUAACCAAUAGAGCUGUGGAGAUAAUGGUGCACUCGCUCUGCUGGGAGAUCGAGAAAACAUGAGAAGAAGACAAUGGUGUUGUUAAGUCACUUAUGCCGUGUCUGAAAUCCAAAUGAAGUCUAAAAGUGCUUUCACACCUAAUAGUCUGUUGCCAGUGCAAAACUGACACUUUUGGUUCAAUUGCUAUUUGGAUUGUUUUGGUUUCACACUACACAUAAUUAAACGAAACAAAAAUAAAAAAAAAAUUGACUGAUGGGGCAUGUACUGAAAACUGUACUUGUAAAGCUCUUUCGUUGAUUGUUCAGAUGGGAAAAGGUAAAUAAACCUUACCAAAUAUGCAAAGAAAUCACAAAAAUCACCAAAGCAUAUCUAAAUUACUAGAUCAUUAUAGAAAUACCUAGCUUAAUACAUUUUAAAUGUUUAAUUUUUCUUUGUAUCACAUUUCUACAGCCCUACAGCUCUGUUGUUUCAUUUUGUGCCUCAUGGCGCAAUUUAGCAGCAUCUAUAGAAAACUGUCACUCAAAUUACAUGCCAUGUUUGGUUCACUUCCUGCAGGUGGGUUGAUUCAGGAUCGAAUAGCUUUCUCACUGCAAUCAAAAUAUGAUAGAGUUCGACUGGAACAAGACCAAGACCACCUUGCUCAGACGCUCUCUCUGACACUGCACCCGAGUGUGACCGGCGUGUUCUCGUCUGCCUAAACAAACUGCACCGAGUGGGAAAUCAUACCUGGGUUCCAUACAGACACACUAAACGCCUAUGUGAAAGCAUCCUAAACUGUGUAUGAUGUACUAUAUACAGACAGGUGACAAAUUAAAGAAAAAAACAAGUGCCUUACUAAGGUUUUGGGUCCAUGAUAAGCCCCCAGAACAGCUUCAGAGCUCCUUGGCACAGAUUCUACAAGUCUCUGGUACUGUACUGGGGCAACAAUUACCAGUAUUAAAGAAGUCUUCUUAAUGAAGAACUGAACAGAAAAGAAGUCUUCUUAAUGAAGAACUGAAGCAAUAACACUGAUGCAAUCAGUUCACUAUUUGGUCCUCAAAAUGGAAGCCAUUAAACAGUGUGACAUCACAUGAAAUUCAGGGAUAUGUCAGAGUGUAUAAAAAGCCCAAAUGAAUUCCAAGUUGAAGCAUCAAAAAACUUAAGCCCAAGUGAGUCCAAGUCAAGCAAAAAGUCAUUAAAAUCAUGACUUAAGUAGGACAUAAUUCCAAGUCCAGAACUUGAGUACUACAUCACAAUAAACAAGACAGUCUGUGUUGCCAGGUAGUGCACCACAGGACAGCUGGAAGGUGAAAUACUCAUUUCAUUUGGCACUAAAUCCGAGUGUUAAGCAUAUUCUGAUCAGAACAGCUCUGCAGGCAAUGACUGAACACAACCACAUGCUGAAUUCUGCUUAACUCUUCUGACUAAUGCACACCUCUCAAACACACCAAUCUCAUGAAUUGGAAGGCUAAAAUUGCAGGCUUCUUUUUUAAUCCUUCAUGAUUUUCACAUUUUGCUUCCAUUUGCUUUGCUUGGGGGAAAAAAUUACUGUUGAAAAGUCUUUAAUGAUUUCAUGCGUAGGCGUAGAAGGUAAAUCUAUAACAUCUAGCGGUCAAUUUAAAAAAAAAAGUGGAUGGUGGGUUUUAAAGGGAAAUAAAAGCAUUUGAACCAGCUUGCUAGUUAGGUUGUGAGCAUACUAGUACAGCAAUAAUAAUAGUAGUCAAAUAGGGCAACUUUUUUUUUUUUUUACACCAGUUUCUCCCAGUUUGGUCAAUUUGCCAAUUCCCACCCAUUAGUUAGUUCUCCCCUAUAAAACAACAGCAACCAACUGUGGAGGAGAAAGGUUAACACAUGCUUUCUCCAAGUCACAUGAAGCCAACACACUCGGAGGAAAGUGAUAUCUACCUUCUUCUGCAUACAUGAUCUCACAGAUGCAAAUGAUUGGUUAGUGUCACUGUGAUUGGCAGGAGAGGGACAGUAAUGCCAUCCAUCCCACCCAGACAGCAAGUCAAGUUUGCUCUCUUUGAGGAUGGCUUUAAAAAGAGUGCAACAAAUUAAAUUAUUAUAAUAAUAUUAUUCAAAUUAGUGCAACAUUACCCUUAAGACAAUCCUUCAAGAUUAUAAAAGGGAAUUAACUCUGACAUCUUACACUGAUUAAUGCUGCACAUAAUAUUAAAGA